ensembl:lncRNA
GGACAGCAGAAAUCAUCUCAUCUGUAGGCAAGUUGCUGCUGAUGUGUUUGAAAUUCCAAGGCCAUGUUGGGCCUUGGGCAACCUGGUCUGGCAGGAGGUGUCCCAUCUUCUUGGAUGAAAGUUUCACAUCAGUAUGACAGCUGCAAUCAUAAAAAAUACAACUUUUGCAACACUGCAGAUUUUAGACAGUUGAGUCAGCCUUAGAGUAACAUCAGAAGGAGCUUCCACUCCUUUCUGUGUUGAAAAUGCAAAUUAUCAUUUCUUAGGCGAGUUCCCUUAGCACAAGACUCCUCCUGACCUCACAGACCAAGCAAAUGCUAUCCCAGGUGGAAGUGAGAACAAUUACUUACCCACACUUCACCCCACAUUCAUGGUUCUGUUCACGUGCACACACAUGUGUAGGUACAUCUCCAAACAGCACUCAAGUAAGCAACCCCACCUCACCCUGAAGUCUGAUGAUCAAAAUAAGCAAACAGAACAAAACCCAUGCCUCUCGUCACCAUUUUAUUUUGUUGUUACUCUGAAAAUCUUUAAGACAUUCUGCGCAGUCCAAGGGCUAUCUUUGCCAUUUCCAGAGCUGCCACAUCCUGAUGCUUACUGUUGCAUCCUGGCGUACACUGAUGGGUUCAUCCCAGCUAAGGCUCACUGAUUGUUUCAGAACUUCCAAUUGGAGUAAGUCAAUUGAUCAGGCCAAGUAACAGACAGUAUUAAAACAGAAAACAUUCUUUAUCCUAUGAUCAGAAUACAGGUAACAUAUUAUUUCUGUACUUUGGACAGUAGUUUAAUGCAACUAUGUCUGGAAAAUACAAUAUAGUUGGGGGAUGUCUGAUGUAUUAAAUCAAGUCUUUUUUCAUUUAAGUCUGUGAAUGUUCAGAAACCUGUGCUAGAAUUUGGCCUACUGUGUCAUUUACUAAAGUGUAAGAGGAAAAUAGCGUUCUGAAGUGUUCUGCUUGCAAAGAAAUUCUUCCUUUGUGGCUUUGAUUUGUUUGCAGAGAGUUAAUUUGCUUUGACUUUCCAAGGUGCUUUUCUAAACUAUUAAAACAUGCAACUUUAUCGAAGCAACUGUAAUGUAAUCAGCAGUAACAGUGAAUAAAACAAUGGCUUAUAAAGAAUUGAAUUUUCAUUUUAUGUCUAAAUUCCACCACAUACACAAGAUUUACAUCUCAACCACAUCAGUCUAACAUAUCCAUGGCACAGCAAACACAACUGCACUGAGAGAAUACCUGGAUUUAUAAAUAUAAAUUGACAAUUACAUUACUAAUCCACUGGAUCAUAUAACGCUGUUAAUCAAAAUAUUUGUCAUGGGAGUGAAAAAUAGUAAAGAACCAGAAACACAUUUCAAGAAAAGAUAAAUAUUACAGUAUGAUCUGAUUUAAUACUCUUUAAAACAGAUUUCUUAACUGUUCAGGCUUGACGCUGCAAAUCACAGCUCCCUUGCUAUAGGGAACUCCUAGAAGAGCAGCAAAGUUUUAUCUUUCCUGGUGUGCUCAGCAUUCAGUGCUAUUUACAAUCAGCAGAUGAACCUAACUAAAGCAUUGAAAUAGCACAAAUUUAUUACCAUGAACAACUAUCUUAUGCUCCCAUAAACUUUAUGUUUUAUCUUUUGAAAAGCUCCUGCUAUUUAAUACGAUUUAGCCUCUUACUUUUAAUCUCCUACUGCAGUAGCAAGAAAAGACCUCAUACUGCUCUGGCAUGUUACGGCGUUGUCAUGGAUACACAAGUAUGGUACAUUACUUCCACCAGUAAAUAAACACGGAUCUCAAGGAGCGCUCGGUGGGAUUUACUAGCCCCAUAGCAUUGUUAGCUGCACAGAGCUUUAAAUAAGCAAAUGGUUCGUUCUUGUAGAGUCAUACCCAGGGCUGUCUAGGGGCAUGCAUGCAUGAUCCAUUUUUCUUUAAAGAAAUAGAAGGGUGAGUGCUGGACUCUAGAAUUUACUCGUUUCUCUGCCUCCGAUUUUGCCUUGUAGAAUGCAUGGCAGAUAACUCUAAUGUGGCAGAUAAUGAGGAGGUCACCUGUUAAUUGUUUAAGCAAGUGAUUUAUGUUUUUACAUAUAUGAACACUAAGUAAGUGUCCUUUUGUGUGGGGGGGGGGAGGGGAAGGGAGAGAGGGGAGGAAUAAGUAUUUUUAAUGUAGCAGUAUGGUGCUCAUGCUAUCCUUGCUGUCUUUCUGACACCAAAGUUUUGGAGAACACAAAGUUGGAUAGGACAAGAGGGAAUGGCCUCAAGUUGUGUCAUGGGAGGUUCGGGUUGGAUAUUAGGAAGAAUCUCCUCUCAGGAACAGUGGUGAGUGUUAGAAGAAGCUGCACAGGGAGGUGAUGGAGUCACUGUCCCUGGAGGUGUUUAAGGGAAAAGCAGAUGUAAUACUUAGGGACAUGGUUAGUGGCCAUGGUGGUGAUGGACUGGUGGGUGGACUAGAUGAUCUUAGAGGUCUUUUCCAACCUUGAUGAUUCCAUGAUUCAUGAUUCCAUCUCACGGUAUGUACGUCAACAGCUACAGCAUGGCUGACUUGCUUCCAAGAAAUCAGUGUCUUACACUGAUGCAGGGAUGUACAUCAAAUGCCUAAGGCUUCUGCUUCAAGACAGGAAAACAUUAUAGUGAAGGUUGUAGUACUUAACAUUAAGCUCCACAACAGUAGGACUUACUCUUAGCCAGGGACUCCAAUUUAUCAGAGAAAUUAAAAUAGAAAAGUCAAAUUGAGAUUGGUAAAAAAAAAAAAAACAAAACUGUUUUAAGUGCCCUAAACCAAAAUUUACUGAAAAAAAAAUUCACUGUCUUUUAUGCAGGAUUGGCAAAAGUACCUGCACCUUCUGUUUCUUGCACAAUGUGAUGAUAUCUUCAGGUGUGUACAAACCAUGCAUGUGGCUGGCAUGUUCUGCUGGGUUUGAUUUUUGGUGUAUUUUUGCUGGUUAGCCUGUGUAAAUCUAUUUUAAGGCUAGACAGAGCAAAUAAUUCUCAAUGAAUAAUUUACUUGAUAAAUCUAGUGGAUUUUUGUGGGUUUUUUUUUUUCCUUCACAGUCAUAUCUGUGAGCAGAUGUCAAGGUAGUUUUAUUUAUUUUUUCUUUCCCUACGCUGUAUUUACUUUGCUGAUGUUCAGAAUCUGCAUUGCAACCAUCGGUUGCCUUUGGCUGGAGAAGUCAGAAGUUGCCAAACCUGCUCUUCUACAUUUGGAGCUGUAAUGCUCUGCCUGAUGGAGCAUGGCUGUGGGACCAGGCCCAGCCACUGUAGGCCGUACAGAUAUCCUCCUUGUUGCAUAUGUGUGUGUUGAAACUGCUGAAAUCUUGAUACAGGAAAAAAAUAUUGAUGGUAGACACGGUGUGCUUGUAAGAAAUCAGUGGCAAAUAUUGGUUUACUUAUUUAUUUCCAAAUUAAAGCUGAAAUCAUGAUGAUUUUUUUGAAGGGGAAUAAAAGGUGGAGAGAAAAUAAAGAGAACUGUGAUUCCUAAAAAAUCACAGCACAAAGCACAAAGAUACCUCUCAGGAAUUAAUGAUUUUUUUUUUAAGAUUUACAACCUAAUGGGCCUAAAUUCCUUCAAGAUUCCCAUUCUCUGUGAAGUGAUGUUGCUCUGGUUAUGUGAUAAUGGUUAUCAGGCACUGGUGCUGACUGACACACUGCUCUGCACAUCCUGAGCUCAGCUCUGAGAGAGUUAAUUUAAAUUUGAUAACAAAUGGCUCUGCUUUUGAAAUGAAUGUAGCCUAGCAACUUCAACUGGGAGCCUUUUAUCGGGACUCAAUUAUGUAUGCAGCCUCUUUGAGAAAUAGUUUCAUACGUCUGACCCAAGACCUGUGAAAUAAAACCAUACCACGGCGAUGUGUCAUUCCUGUGCAUGCCCCAUGCCUUGGGUGAGGACACAUGGAAUUGCUCAUUCCAUACCAGUUUUCUUGUCCCAACACACAUCUGUCAUGAAUGAUCUUUGUCGCAGCAUUUAACCUGAGUGCGGGUGCUUUUUGGGGGUUUCCAGCCACUCUGCGUCUGCCCCAUCAGCACAGCAGUGUGAAACCAGGGAGACAGGCAACGGGUUAAGCACCCUCACCAUCCCUCUCUUUUUUUUUUUUUUUUUCCAUUUUUUUUCCAAAAUGGCUGCUUUGUCUGUGUGCAUACACCAAUAGCAAAUGUCCUUCUGUUAUUUUACAGCCAAUUUGGUGUGUCAGACAUUCAUAUGCUAAUGAUGGUACAGUGCUUUACUUUUUCACAGAUAAAUUGGAAAGAUUGCUACAGAGAGCGAAACACGAGGAUAAACAGCUUUUAUUUCAGAAGUGAUAAAUUACUUUCCAUUCAAAUAACACGCAACCUAUGCUACUGCCUAUUAUUGUUUCUAUUCAUGGUGAGUUUGCCUUCUGUUUUGCUUUGUAAGAAUGGUCAGAAAAUAUUUAGCAGAUAUCACCAGAGGUGAUGCAAACGAUUUAAGUUCCUUAAUUUUCAGUAGUGUUGCAUGAUGUGAAGUUAAUUUUUUUUACCCAGUUUUUACAGGUAAUAAAAAUGUAAUAGUUUGCUGCAGACGUUGUUCUCCGGCUGACAGUGUUCAUAUUUAUCGUGGCGUGAAAUGGGUGAGAUGUGAAGAUGGGACAUUUCUUCUCAUGCAUUCCUGAAGAUGCCCCAGUGUGUGUGCCCAGCAUCACACUGCUUGGGAGUGCCAGUGGUUUUCCUAAAGCAGAAGCAGAGUAAAAUGAGAGCCAAUGUCUUUUUGUUCUGUUCCAAGACCAACAUUUAUCCAAAACAAGAGUGAAAACUAGAGAUGAGUAUUUGUGUUUUGUUCCCAAAGUACAAUAGGACUGUUGUCGCAGCCAUAUUCCACAAGUAUAAAAAGCAAAGGUAAGUAUGAAAAGCUUCAGUAAUAAGUAUGACCAGGCACUUGUCAUGGAUGAAAUAAACUUGCUUAUUAACCCAGGGCAGGGUGUUCACCAACAUGACAGCAUUCAUUUCUGCUCAGAGAGAGCACGUACUAUAAAAUAGUCAAGGAUCACGUGUGCCUCCUCCUCAGACCCACAAGCGUGUCCACCUGGACUUUUCCUUGCAUUCUUGCAUGCAGCCCUUUACAGGAGUUGGGGCUGCAAAGCUCAGUCCAGAAGGAGGAAGUUCUGGCUGCCACUCUUCCACUCCGUAAUGCCACAAGAUUAUCCUCACUGCACGGCGUGCAGAGAUGCACCAAGAUGCACUCCCAGUUCUCAGAGGUAGCAUUGCCCAUGCUGUGUACGUUUGGGAUGCUGCUGGUUCUGCCAGUGUUCCCUCAUUAUGCUCAGGAGAGUUGUUUCUUGCAGUUUCCUUUUGCAAAGACUAUGCCUGUGUGCUCGGAUGUCAAACUUGGGAAAACAAAUGGACAAAAGGAGGUUAACAAUGAUCUCCCUUGUGAAUUUCUACAGUCAUCUGAAACAACUGUGGCUGCAGGGAAAAGUAAAUUCAAUCAUGUGAGGGAAAGAGGUGAAAAUCAAAGAGAAAAUGACACAGGCAGUUCUGAUGCUUGAGCACAUGGCGGUCAUGCAGGACUGAUGGCUCAUGGCCCAUAAAGCAUAGAGCUGCUCCCCUCAAAGUGUGGUGCUGCAAAUUCUCCUGCACUGCCUGACUCCAAGUGUGCAAGUGAUUCGAUAGGGAGAAACUAUUAGCAACCAGCUCUGGGACUGAUGACUUUGCCAACAUCUCUAGCCUAACAUGGGAUCCAGAAUCAAAAUCCUAAUGCCUUGAAGGAUGCAUGAAAACCAUUUUCACCAUGACUUUAUAGAGUUGAUCUGAGAAGGUUUCUUGCACAUUUACAGUUGGUUUUUUGUAGGUUUCUUUUUUCUGCAAUAUUACUUUUUAUACAAAAUUGUAAAUAUUACUUUUUUUUACAAAAUUACAUUGGAAUGCAAAACAGUCAAGAGUUUUUCCUCAGGUGUGGAACAGAAAAGUUAAACUGAAAACAGGAAAUUGAUACUAAGUAUGACAAUAUUUUUGUAAACCAUGAGAAUUUUUUUUUUCUUUUAAAAAAUAUAUCUUCUUCCACAUCUGAGAUUUAAAAAAAAGAAAAUGUCUGCAAAGGUAAAUGUAUGUGCUCAGCAAGAGCUAAUCAGCCCUUUAAACACCUGAUACAACCCCUAAGAAACUCCAUUGGAAAAGCCAAAACCUACAACCCUGUGAUGCAGCAAUGUACAGUGAAUUAGAAUAAUUACACAAUGAUCAUGAAAAUGCAACUAAAUUCUUCUAGACCAAGUGAAGAACUUCCUGGCACAUUGCUUCUAAGCAUACUGAAAAGAGUUUGGAGUUUGUGCCUCCCUGCUGUGAAGCAAGCAAAAUGGCAGCAGGCAUUGAGCAGUGCAGACCCCUCAGAGGGUGCUGCUUCACUCUAGAAGCCAGGGGAGGAGGGAACUGCAGUCCCUAACUACGUUCAUUUAAAAAUGUUUCUCUCCUGAGAGUUUUAUUCAGGAUAUGUCAAAAAUUUACUUAGUUUAAAGUAAUCCACUGUGGAACCUAAUUACAUGAAAGGUGGCAAGCAGGUCAAGGAGAAGGAGAUGUACAUAAGGUUACAAUUAGCAUACAUUAAAUCUUCAUGAAACCUGGCAACAGAUGUUGUACAAGGACCACAUUUUUUAUUAAGAUGGAAUGCCAUAGCCAACUAUGUUUUUCCUGGAUGACAGGCAGUAAUGGGCUUGUGUUUCUUUGACCAAUCUCCCGUCCAAUAAAGCAUUCCAUCUAGAGUGGCUCAGGUGGUGAAGAUAUGCAGAAAUGCUGAAUCUGGGGAACAAGAGAGGCAGAGAUGUCUUCAGAUGCUGCUUGCCCCUUCCCAGCAGCACCACAAUGUAAGGUGGAAGGAUGUGGGAGGCAAAGAGGUAAAGAAGCAUCUAGCUAGCUGUCUCCUUAUCUCACUGCAGGAAAGCCCUGCUGAAACAGAAGUCAUCUCUCCAUAGUGCUUGAAUAGGGAGAAUCUCAGAGGCCCCACACCUUACUUUCUUUCCCCCGUAGGGUAAUCCACUUUCCUGGGCAACCUCAAUUUGACAGCAUUUGGCUUUUUUGCAUUGCAGAUACAAUAUAAACAAUCAAAAGUAUAUUGCUUACUAUUGCAAUUGUGAUUGCAGUUGUGAGUAUGAUUGCUGUUUCUAUUGCUGUUAUCAUUACUGACCCAUUCUUUUUUAUUGGCCACUUUUGACCAUUUCUUCCCUCAGAUGGGGUGAGGCCCUGGCGCAGCUGCUGAGAGAAGCUGUGGGUGCUCCAUCCCUUUAAGUGUUCAAGGACAGGUUGGAUGGGGCCCUGGGCAGUCUGAGCUGGUGAAUGGCAACAAGCCCAUGUCAGGGCAACUGGAACUGGAUGGACUUGAAGGUCCUUCCAACUCAAGCCAUUCUGUGAUUCUAUGAUUCUGUGAUAAUUCCCCUAAGCUUUCAGCUGGGAGUACUCAUCAGACCAAACCAGUGUGACACAUGAGCAUCACAAGCUGUGGCAAUUAAUCUGCUCUCUUCUACACUGAGGUCUGUUUGACUGAACUAUUCUUUGUGUUGAGCCAAAGCAUAUCUUCCGAAAAACACUUAGUCUUCACCCAAGUGUGCCAGAGAUGCAUUUCCUGCAGUCUCCAUAUGCAAUUUGCGUGAUGAUUGAGCAGCCUCCCUGGCAAAAUGUUACAGCUAAUUUCUCGUCUGAAUCCUCUUGGCUCCAAUUGCCUACCCCAAACUCUUCAUCUGCCUUCCUCUGGUAGAUGAAGGACCUCUAGCACACAGUCUCUGUUCCCCAUGCAAAUACUUGUACGCUGUAAUCCAUUCUCUUUGUGAUGUUCCCUUUGAUAAACCAAACAAUUCUGUUAUUGAGGAUCUUGAAGACUUUCACUGUUGAACAGUCUUCUGGAUUUCCAGUAUCUUUUUUGAGAGGACCACACAAACAAAUUAUUUAUUUUAGUCUUUCCUCACCAUUGUGGAAUGCAGAGAUGAACACCAAAUUCCUAUGAUACCAUACCUGUAUGGAUAGCACAGCCCUCUUCUAACCACAGAAAUCUGAAACUCUG